AAAUUCAGUCAGGACAUAUUGCAGAUGAUGUAGAUACAGGAGUUACACUGAAGAGAGAUAUUGGUUGCCAGUGUGAUCCAGACCCCCUUAUACUUGAAAAUCAGAGACUUAAGUUGGAAUUAAGGAGGAUACGAGACACAAGGUGAUCUGUUGCCAAGAUUAAAGAUGAUGACGCAAUGACCAUGGUUCUAUACAGGACUCCCAAGCUUUGCGUUGUUUCUGUGGCUUUUCAACUACCUGGCACCAAAGCUUGAGAAGAUGGUCUACUGGAUAGGUGGUUCAGCAACUCCAGAGGAAAGGAGUAGAGCUAGGCGAAGCAUGGCACUGGAACCAAUUAACCAAUUUUUGGCAACAUCGAUGAGGCUUAAGGUUGGAUUAUAUGUACAAGACAUGGCAGAGCGUUUUGGUGUUUCUGUAGGAGCCUUCUCUCAGUACUUUACCACCUGGAUUUGCCUACUUCACAAGGAACUGAAGGAUCUUAAUCCCUUUCCUUCCAGAGAUGUUGUCAAGAGAAAUAUGCCAACUUGCUUUAAGUCUUUUCAAAAUUUAAGAGUCAUACUUGAUUGAUUGCACAGAGAUAUUCAUUCAGAAAUCUAACAGUUUGAUAAACCAGAAUCAAUCUUUUUCUCAUUACAAACACAAUACAACUUUAAAAUUUUUGAUUGGUAUAACUCCUUAUGGUGUUAUCUUAUUUGUUUCAGAGGGCUUUGAUGGAAAGAUCUCGGAUCGGCAGAGGAUUGAGCGUUCACCUCUGCUUGAGGAAGGGGAUGUUGUCAUGACAGACAAGGGCUUCACUAUUAGGGAUUUAUUAGAGAAAAAAGGCUGUAGUUUGAAUAUUCCGCCAUUUCGGUCUUCUUCAUGUCAAUUUUCUACUGUAGAUGUUUUUAACACUCAAGAUAUUGCUAAAUUACGGAUUCAUGUCGAAAGAGCUAUAGGACGCGUAAAAAAUUUUCACAUUUUUGAUGGUGUACUUUCUCUUUCUCUAGUGCAACUGGCAUCUCAGAUAUUUUCUGUCUGCUGCUGGCUUACCAACCUUGAUGUCCCUAUGGUUGAAAGUAAUCCAUGAUGACAAAUUCAGUUCUCCUCGGACAAUACAAGACUUUUCAUUGCUGUUUCCAUUGGAUCCUCUGUUGUUCUAACUUCAAUUUCCCCAGAUGGAUUAGGUGUCUCUUCUGGAAUGGUCCAUAAGUGACUCAUGCCUAGAAUAAAA